rnacentral:rRNA from 1 species
GAUAGCAGGGGAUCGUAAGGCCUUGCGUUUUUGGAGCGGCCGAUGUCUGAUUAGCUAGUUGGUGGGGUAAGGGCCUACCAAGGCGACGAUCAGUAGUUGGUCUGAGAGGACGACCAGCCACACUGGGACUGAGACACGGCCCAGACUCCUACGGGAGGCAGCAGUGGGGAAUUUUGGACAAUGGGCGCAAGCCUGAUCCAGCAAUGCCGCGUGAGUGAAGAAGGCCUUCGGGUUGUAAAGCUCUUUCAGUCGAGAAGAAAAGGCUACGGUAAAUAAUCGUAGUUCAUGACGGUACCGACAGAAGAAGCACCGGCUAACUACGUGCCAGCAGCCGCGGUAAUACGUAGGGUGCGAGCGUUAAUCGGAAUUACUGGGCGUAAAGGGUGCGCAGGCGGCUUUGUAAGUCAGAUGUGAAAUCCCCGGGCUUAACCUGGGAAUUGCGUUUGAAACUACAAGGCUAGA